rfam:Shuttleworthia satelles DSM 14600 genomic scaffold Scfld0, whole genome shotgun sequence.
GGGGGCGUAGCUCAGUUGGGAGAGCGCUUGAAUGGCAUUCAAGAGGUCAUGGGUUCAAGUCCCACCGUCUCCA